AGGGAGAUAGCUCAGGGGUAGAGCAUUUGACUGCAGAGCAAGAGGUCCCCGGUUCAAAUCUGGGUAUCUUUU
rnacentral:tRNA from 1 species